UACGUAGGCAGCGAGCGUUGUCCGGAUUUAUUGGGCGUAAAGAGCUCGUAGGCGGUUUGUUGCGUCGGCUGUGAAAUCCCGAGGCUCAACCUCGGGUCUGCAGUCGAUACGAGCAAACUAGAGUGUUGCAGGGGAGACUGGAAUUCCUGGUGUAGCGGUGAAAUGCGCAGAUAUCGGGAGGAACACCGGUGGCGAAGGCGGUUCUCUGGGCCUUACCUGACGCUGAGGAGCGAAAGCGUGGGGAGCGAACAGG
rnacentral:rRNA from 1 species